rnacentral:rRNA from 1 species
CGUAGGGUGCGAGCGUUAAUCGGAAUUACUGGGCGUAAAGCGUGCGCAGGCGGUUUUGUAAGACAGAUGUGAAAUCCCCGGGCUCAACCUGGGACCUGCAUUUGUGACUGCGAGGCUAGAGUACGGUAGAGGGGAUGGAAUUCCGCGUGUAGCAGUGAAAUGCGUAGAUAUGCGGAGGAACACCGAUGGCGAAGGCAAUCCCCUGGACCUGUACUGACGCUCAGUGCACGAAAGCGUGGGGAGCAAACAGGAUUAGAUACCCUGGUAGUCCACGCCCUAAACGAUGUCAACUGGUUGUUGGGUCUUUACUGACUCAGUAACGAAGCUAACGCGUGAAGUUGACCGCCUGGGGUGUACGGCCGCAAGGUUAG